rnacentral:lncRNA from 1 species
UCCUAAUGAACGUCAACCAAAUCCAAGGUCAAAUUCUAAUUAAAAUUCUAAUUGAAAUCCUAAUGAAUUUUAGUUAAAUCUUAGAUAAAAUCCUAAAAAAAUCCUAAAUUCUAAUUCCAAAUCAAAUCUUAAUGAAAUCCAAAAUUAUAAAUAAUUCGAAGAAAAUCCUAAGUAAAUUUCAAUUGAUUACUAUAAUUAUUUGAAAUCUCAAUAAAUAUAAGUUGAAUCGUACAUUUUCAUUAAAUUUUUUUAUUUAAACUUUAAUAAAUAAGCAAUUAAUAAGUGUAUAAAUUUUGAGAAGAAUCAAACUUUCUAAUUACAAAAAAGGUUCCAAAACCUCUUUAUCUUUGGUCACCUUCCUUCUCCAAUUUCAAUGCUGAAUUUUCAAUACUAAUUUUUUCUAGGUGAAUUAUUCAAUUGCUUCAAAAUUUAGAUUAUAUAUAGAUAUUCAAGUCUUAAGUAAGCUCUCCAAAUUUUACUUCAAUUCAAUUGGAAACUAUUGCUAGAUCUCAAAAUUACUCAUUAAUCCUAAAUCUCAAAUUUCUAAGACCAUAAUCCACAAAAAUCCUCAUAUGCUUCAAUCUAAUUGCUUUAAUAAUUUCAAAUUUUAUACACACAUUUACAAUAAGCAUAUCAACAAAAUUUUAAAAUUUCACUUUUAUAAAUAUUACAAAACUUAAGGGAUCCUCAAAUUUGUGAACAUAUUUUUAUUUCUCAAAAUCUAAACCUACCAAAAAUAUUCUUAACUUUGAAAAUCCUUC